rnacentral:misc_RNA from 1 species
ACUAGUAUUGAAGUCCACGGGGAUCAGGCUUUCCGAAAGGAGGGUGGGGGGAUGUUUGGUUCCCCCUGCUUGGGCAGACUGGAGAGCAUUGUGUAGCCACUUUUGUUGGCUACGUUAUGUUUGGCCUCUGCUGAUCGAGCUUGUCACCUGAAUUCUACUACCCUUGCUUUUGCGCACCCAUUGUUUCCUCGGUAGGCUUGCCUGCCAGUAGGACCAUUUAAAACCCUUUGUGAUUGCAAUCAGCGUCAGAAACAACGUAAUCGUUA